rnacentral:rRNA from 1 species
AGUGAACGCUGGCGGCAGGCCUAAUACAUGCAAGUCGAACGGCAGCACAGCAGAGCUUGCUCUGUGGGUGGCGAGUGGCGGACGGGUGAGGAAUACAUGGGAAUCUGCCCAGUCGUGGGGGAUAACGUAGGGAAACUUACGCUAAUACCGCAUGCGCCCUUCGGGGGAAAGCCGGGGACCUUCGGGCCUGGCGCGAUUGGAUGAGCCCAUGUCGGAUUAGCUAGUUGGCGGGGUAAUGGCCCACCAAGGCGACGAUCCGUAGCUGGUCUGAGAGGAUGAUCAGCCACACUGGAACUGAGACACGGUCCAGACUCCUACGGGAGGCAGCAGUAGGGAAUAUUGGACAAUGGGCGCAAGCCUGAUCCAGCCAUGCCGCGUGAGUGAAGAAGGCCCUCGGGUUGUAAAGCUCUUUGUCCGGAAAGAAAGCGCCGGGUUAAUACCCUGGUGUCCUGACGGUACCGGAAGAAUAAGCACCGGCUAACUUCGUGCCAGCAGCCGCGGUAAUC